GUUCAAGCGGUAGGAGAGCGUCGUAACCGGGCUGAAGUCGUACCGUAAGGAGCGGUGGACUGGUUACGAGUGAGAAUGUUGGCAUCAGUAGCGAGAUGUGGGUGAGAAUCCCACAGGCCGAAAACCUAAGGUUUCCUCAGGAAGGUUCGUCCGCUGAGGGUUAGUCGGGACCUAAGCCGAGGCCGAAAGGCGUAGGUGAUGGACAACUGGUUGAUAUUCCAGUACCACUACCAUCGUUAUUAUCGAUGGCGUGACGCAGGAGGAUAGUGUGUGCUAGCUAUUGGAUGCUAGUCUAAGCGUUUAGGCAGUGAGAGUAGGCAAAUCCGCUCUCAUAAUGCUGAGGCGUGAUGGGGAAGGUUCCACGGAACCGAAGUACAUGAUUCCACGCUGCCAAGAAAAGCGUCUAGAGAGAGAAGUAGUGCCCGUACCGCAAACCGACACAGGUAGGUGAGGAGAGAAUCCUAAGGCCGGCGGAAGAAUUACAGUUAAGGAACUCGGCAAAUUGACCCCGUAAGUUCGCGAGAAGGGGUGCCUACGAGAGUAGGCCGCAGAGAAUAGGCCCAAGCAACUGUUUAGCAAAAACACAGGUCUCUGCUAAAGCGUAAGCUGAUGUAUAGGGGCUGACGCCUGCCCGGUGCUGGAAGGUUAAGGGGAACACUUAGCGCAAGCGAAGGUGUGAACUUAAGCCCCAGUAAACGGCGGCCGUAACUAUAACGGUCCUAAGGUAGCGAAAUUCCUUGUCAGGUAAGUUCUGACCCGCACGAAUGGCGUAAUGACUUGGGCACUGUCUCAACUGUAAAUCCGGCGAAGUUGUAGUGCGAGUGAAGAUGCUCGCUACCCGCGAUUGGACGGAAAGACCCCGUAGAGCUUUACUGUAGCUUAGCAUUGAGUUUUGGUAUUGUCUGUACAGGAUAGGUGGGAGACUAGGAAACCAGGGCGUCAGCCUUGGUGGAGUCAACCUUGGGAUACCACCCUGACAGUACUGAAAUUCUAACUGGCGGCCAUGAAUCUGGUCACAGGACAUUGUUAGGUGGGCAGUUUGACUGGGGCGGUCGCCUCCUAAAAAGUAACGGAGGCGCCCAAAGGUUCCCUCAGAACGGUCGGAAAUCGUUCGAAGAGUGCAAAGGCAGAAGGGAGCCUGACUGCGACACCCACAAGUGGAGCAGGGACGAAAGUCGGGCUUAGUGAUCCGGUGGUACCUCGUGGGAGGGCCAUCGCUCAACGGAUAAAAGCUACCUCGGGGAUAACAGGCUGAUCUCCCCCAAGAGUCCACAUCGACGGGGAGGUUUGGCACCUCGAUGUCGGCUCGUCGCAUCCUGGGGCUGAAGUAGGUCCCAAGGGUUGGGCUGUUCGCCCAUUAAAGCGGCACGCGAGCUGGGUUCAGAACGUCGUGAGACAGUUCGGUCCCUAUCCGUCGCGGGCGUAGGAAAUUUGAGAGGAGCUGUCCUUAGUACGAGAGGACCGGGAUGGACUGACCUCUGGUGUACCAGUUGUUCCGCCAGGAGCACAGCUGGGUAGCUAAGUCGGGAAUGGAUAAACGCUGAAAGCAUCUAAGCGUGAAGCCAACCUCAAGAUGAGAUUUCCCAUAGCGUAAGCUAGUAAGAUCCCUUGAAGAACACAAGGUUGAUAGGUCGGGGGUGUAAGCAUGGUAACAUGUUCAGCUGACCGAUACUAAUAGAUCGAGGGCUUGACCAAAU
rnacentral:rRNA from 1 species